GCGUCCUUAGCUCAGUUGGUUAGAGCGUUGCAUUGACAUUGCAGAGGUCGAUGGUUCGAAUCCGUCAGGACGCA
rnacentral:tRNA from 1 species